rnacentral:lncRNA from 1 species
GUUAUGUUCUGGUUCACCUAAGUGAUAAAUGGCCCCUUUGUUCUACAUUUAGUAUUAGAAAGAAGAAGAAGAACAAGAAGAAAGAAUCAGAUCUAGAUUAAGCAGGGACAGAGACCCAUUUCAUUGCACAGUACUUUAAUAUUCCUGAGAUCCCUGGCAUGACAGGGCUACUUCUCUUAGUAGCAGUCUCUCCCGGAACAGGGCUCUGUGCUGCCUUUGUUUCAUCUGAUCUCCUAGCUGAAUAAGAGAUGGUCAUUUAUCCUCAGUGCUCCCGGUUCCUGCUGGAUUUCUAUUUCUGAGAGAGAAACUGACCAGGAGAAGGAAAAAGGUGGAAGCUGAUUUUGGACAGUGUUGUUCAGUGUGUGUUUACAGGCAGGACUGACUUACUCAGCAAAUCCUGCUCUGAUGAGCUCCAGCCAAUGAAGUGCUUAUAUCCCGGCUUGCUUGGGGGCUUCUGAGUUUGAGCUGCAUGCAGAAAUGUAAGCAGCUCUUCCUGGUGCUGAUGGCAAAAUGGGGUCCACGGCCAGUUCUUCCUCAGGCUUCCUGGCUUUGCAGAUCUGGGAGAGAUCCUACAUAAACCUAUCGGUGAUGUAGCCUGCCUGGAAAGCCAAAAGAAUCCUCAUGGAUUCAGGAAACUGGUUUUUGAUUUAGAAUUAUUUUUUUUUUCUGGAAGAUGAAAUGCUUUUCUCGUUACCUGCCUUACAUCUUCCGACCUCCGAACACCAUCCUCUCUUCCAGCUGCCACACAGAAGGUCCCACACAGAGGAGGAGCUAUUUCUAUUCUCUCAUAUUGAACACGGGGGUGGAGAAGAGGUACUUUCAAGAAAAUGAUUGCAACCCUCAUCCCAGCUGCAGAUGGGUUUUCUUGCCCCAAUCUAUAUGCCAGAACUGAGCAUCCUUCCUCUUGAAUCUCUUCCAUUUCAACUUGUUCUCCAUGCCCUCAGCAAGUACUCAUUGCCAUGCUGAACAAUGACUGUUGUGAGUAGCUCUGAUUAUUGAGCAGCUGUUAUUUAAAUAUUUAUGGCCAAACUGUUCCAAAAGAGGAUCGGAAGCUGCAGCGGGUGGCUUAAGAAAUACAUAAAAAUCUAUGAGGUAAACUUCUCUACGGGAAGAUCUACAUUUCGGUGUAAGUGCCAG